rnacentral:lncRNA from 12 species
GUUUUAUAGUUUAGUUUAAGUUUAAGUACUUAUUACUUGAAAUAAAAAUGGAAUGCAAAUAAAAUGAAAUAAAAAUUAAGUAAACUUUUUUUUUUAAAGAAAAAACAAAAACAUAAUCAUAAAAGAUUAAAAAAAAAAUUAAAAAUAAAUUCAAAAUGCUGUCUAUAAUAUUGUAUGAGUGAUAGUAGAACAGCAGUGUUGUUGUUGUUGCUGGCUGCUGCUGCUCUGAGUGAGUGUGCAGAAAUAGACCCCCGGUAUUUCUGGCUGGAGGGGGGAGUUCCUGCUGUCACAUGCUCGAGCGGAAGGAUACAGCUGACCCCCCUCACACGCCCUUCACCCGCAAACUCACGCGUUUCCCAGCUUUAUACCCCACUGAGCUCCCGUGAGAGUGUGUUUACAGCAUCUGCGCCGCAGGACAGAAGGCUCGUAUCAGUGCGCGCGGAUCUACUUUCUCACGCGGAGGAGUCCCGCAGCGCUCCGAGAAGAAGUCCGAGACAGAGAUUCACGAGCAUUCACGGAAUAACCGCGUCUAACGGGACACACAGCUCAGAGGAACGGAACGCACACACAACUCUUAAUCUGCACCCCUCCUCCUCCUCAUCUUCCUCCUCUCCUCUCCGUGAGAAUGGCGCAGAUUUUACCGAUCCGUUUCCAGGAGCAUCUGCAGAGUUGCUCUCCUGCACUGAAGUGUGUAUUCUGUGGAACAAUUGGAAACAAUGGGACAGUGUUAUUUUGGAGAUGAGGGUCACAGUGCCAAACGCUAAUGAAGUUUCAUUCCACACGCCUUGACAGAGACGUGUGAGCGUCUCUCAGACUGUCCCAGCCUCACCUUUCCACAGGCCAUGUUUUCUUUGUCGUUCACAGAACGCUUCUGGAAUUCGCCCCGCAGCUGAUUGAAGCCAGAUGCUGCCGUCUCAUUUAGAUGUACGGCUGCUUUACUGGGAUUCGAGAUUAUAUUUUGUUGUAAAAUGUGGAAUUUCAUAGCGUGUCUCUUGAGAUACUGUCCCUCCAUGUUCUCUCUCUCUCUCUCUCUCUCUCUUGUGUUAUUCCGGUGUCGGACGCUCAGCCGGUGCAGUUCAGUUAAAGAAUGCCAAGAAUCUGCAGCCGGCAGGACUUUGGGCCUUUAGCAGCUUGGCUUUAUGUCUUGAACAUGUGUUUGAGUUUGAGUUCAUUCAGAGCCGGAUUAUAUUGAUACAGUUUGAUCCUAAAUGGAACUCUUUCUCUCUCUCUCUCUCUGUGUGUGUGUGUGUGUGUGUGUGCUUUUAUAAAUAGACACAGUUCAUUCUGCUCAUGUCUUAUAAAUAUGUUGAACUGGAAAAGGAACAAACACACAGAUAUAAAUAUAUCCAGCUUCACUAGUCUUUCAAAUAACUUAUCUUAAAAGCAUAUGAUUUAAUCUGUAACACCAGAUUUUAUAUAAAUGCUCUUUAUUAUUUAAAUUACUACUUUGUUUUAUUAUUAAAAUGACAUUUUUUAAUAUAUAUUUUUAUUAUUUAAUUGACUUGUUUUUUUAUUUUUAUUGUUUUAUUUGAUUAUUUCAGUGACUAUUUUGUAUCUAUUUUUAUGAUUUUAUUAUUUAAAAUACUGUAUCUUGUUCUGCUCGUGCUUAUGGGGUUAUUUUUGCUGUGUCAUUUUUCUCUGUCCUCUGAUUGGCUGCCGAUGUAAAGCUGUAACCCAAUAGAGAUUUGGCUAAUGUAGUUACGAGCAGGAAGAGGAAACAUGUUUAUCAACAGCAUUAAACUGACACAGAGGUCUAGUUUUAUUACACACACUCAAAAUCAAAAUAGAAAUAUCUUUAGUUGAACUCAUUGAUCAAACGAUGAAAUGUCUGCAAUCUGCCGUUAUGUCCCCACCAAUGCUACACCCUUAAAUAUUUGUUUUAUUCAAAUUAUUUCAAUUAAAAAAAAAUUUUCUUUUAUAUUUUUGAAGGCAGAUAGUUGAUAAAAGUUAAGUUUUUUUUUUACAUUUUUUUAAUUAUUCUGAAAUGAGAAUUAAUAAUAAAUCAUGUAAUAGCGAUCUUUCCAUUUUAGAGCAUUGUACUAGUAACAACAGUCAUGGUUUUGAUUACUCCAUGAUUAUUAAAUGUUUACCUUUGAAUAAAUUUUUGAUAAAAGUGUUUGCCGAAUGCAUGAAUGUAACCGUCUUGCAGCAGGAGAUCAGUAAGCGGAAGAGACAGAGACAGAGACAGAGACAGAGACAGAGUGAGUCUGCUUCAUCUCAUUCUGCUCGGAGACGGAUCUUCAUCAUCAUCAUCAUCAUAGACGAGCCCAUCGGAAAUGAGUUUAUGAGUGUGUGUGUGUGUGUGUGAGUGUGUGUGACUGGACAUCUGGAGCUUUCUGCCCCACUUCAUCUUGAGUGUCCUGUGGGACUUUAGUGAGGACGUCUCAUAGAUGCAGUGCUUCUCAUACAGAUCUAAUGCUGCUGUAUGAACAGGAACAUAAGAGUCUAACCCUUCACUCAAACCUGUCUGAUUAAAGCCAGACCUAAUUAAGCUGAUUUAUGAGUCUUUAUAAAUACUGAAGUCACUGUUCCACAGGCUUCUGUACAUUGGUGAGGAGAAUUUUCACUAAUAAUGUCAUUUUGGACCUUUCAAGUUUAGUAAAACGAGUGCUUUUACUUCUAAAACUUCUCUUAUUUUUUUUAUUUAUUUUUUUUAACAUUGUUAUUUAUUUAUUUUUAUAAUUUAAUUAAUUUCUUUUUAUUUUUAAUGUUUU